rnacentral:rRNA from 1 species
UAGGGAAUCUUCGGCAAUGGACGAAAGUCUGACCGAGCAACGCCGCGUGAGUGAAGAAGGUUUUCGGAUCGUAAAACUCUGUUGUUAGAGAAGAACAAGGACGUUAGUAACUGAACGUCCCCUGACGGUAUCUAACCAGAAAGCCACGGCUAACUACGUGCCAGCAGCCGCGGUAAUACGUAGGUGGCAAGCGUUGUCCGGAUUUAUUGGGCGUAAAGCGAGCGCAGGAGGUUUCUUAAGUCUGAUGUGAAAGCCCCCGGCUCAACCGGGGAGGGUCAUUGGAAACUGGGAGACUUGAGUGCAGAAGAGGAGAGUGGAAUUCCAUGUGUAGCGGUGAAAUGCGUAGAUAUAUGGAGGAACACCAGUGGCGGAGGCGGCUCUCUGGUCUGUAACUGACGCUGAGGCUAGAAAGCGUGGGGAGCAAACAGG